GACCUCGUGGCGGACUGGUUACGCACGGGAUUGCACAUCCCGUUAUCCUCGGUUCGAAUCCGGGGCGAGGUCUCCA
rnacentral:tRNA from 1 species